UACGUAGGGGGCAAGCGUUGUCCGGAUUUAUUGGGCGUAAAGAGCGUGUAGGCGGCCAUGUAGGUCCGUUGUGAAAACUCGAGGCUCAACCUCGAGACGCCGAUGGAAACCAUGUGGCUAGAGUCCGGAAGAGGAGAGUGGAAUUCCUGGUGUAGCGGUGAAAUGCGCAGAUAUCAGGAGGAACACCAGCGGCGAAGGCGACUUUCUGGCUGCUAACUGACGCUGAGACGCGAAAGCUAGGGGAGCGAACGGG
rnacentral:rRNA from 1 species